rnacentral:rRNA from 1 species
GGCGGGGACAACAGUCCGAAAGGAUUGCUAAUACCGCAUACGUCAGCGAGGUCUACGGACCUUGUUGGGAAAGAUGGCCUCUCCUUGGAAGCUGUCACCGGAAGAUGAGCCCGCGUCCCCAUCAGCUAGUUGGUGAGGUAAUGGCUCACCAAGGCUUAGACGGGUAGCUGGUCUGAGAGGAUGAUCAGCCACACUGGGACUGCGACACGGCCCAGACUCCUACGGGAGCAGCAGUGGGGAAUAUUGGGCAAUGGGCGAAAGCCUGACCCAGCCACGCCGCGUGAGUGAUGAAGGCCUUCGGGUCGUAAAGCUCUGUGGGGAGGGACGAAUAAGUGCGGUGCUAAUAUCACCGCGCCCUGACGGUACCUCCUUAGCAAGCACCGGCUAACCAUGUGCCAGCAGCCGCGGUAA